ACCUGGGGCUUGCGAAGCCUGCCUAAGCAGGGAUACGGUCCUCCUCUGUAAUGUUUCUCUUUGAGUUCCAGCAAGUGGAACCCAGUUUCUUUAAGGCUACACUUUCAAAAUGACAUUUUCGCUGCACACCAGGUAUUAAAAACAGAAAAAAGAAAAAAAAAAAAAAAGAAAGAAAAAAGAACACAGGCACCUCUUUGCAUUUCUUUAGCUGGGUCUCUGCCUUCCUAUUUAUUUUCCACAGAUGCUGUUUGUUUUUCCACCAGCCCGCCCACGUCUGAGUACAGGCUGUCCCACACUUCACUUUGCUUAUCUCCUUUUCUGUUUGGUGUUCUAAAGGUGUCCCUGGGGCUUUUAGGAAGCAUGAUUUUGGGAUGGCUGGUGAGCAGCCUGCAAUGCAAAGGCAUUAACUUGAGGUUAGCACUGGUAACUUUCUUUCUUUUUUUUUUUUUAAUUUUUUAUUACUCAAAUGAAUUUAUCACAUCUGUAGUUGUAUAAUGAUCAUAACAAUCUGAUUUCACAGGAUUUUCAUCCCACAGCCCAGGCACAUCCCCCAAACUGUCUCCUCCGGAGACCAUAAGUUUUUCAAUGUCUGAGAGUCAGUAUCUGUUCUGCAAAGAAGUUCAGUCUGUCCUUUUUUCAGAUUCCACAUGUCAGUGAAAGCACUGGAUUUGGUGUCUCAUUGUACAGCUGACUUCACUUAGCAUGAUAGUUUCUAGGUCCAUCCAUGUUGCAAAAAAUGCUGGUAUUUCGUUCUUUUUAAUGGCUGAGUAAUACUCCAUUGUGUAUAUUACCACAUCUUCUUUAUCUACUCCUGUUGAUGGACAUUUAGGUUGUUUCCAUGUCUUGGCUGUUGUAAAUAAGCACUGGUAACUUUCUUGCAAGAAUAGAUUGUCUCAGUGGGUUUCUGGUUUGUGUGCCUAGAAUCUGAGUUUUGCAGGGGAAGGUCUCCUCUGGGUAGCAAAAUCUUAGCUCAGGGUGUCAUAGAGGCUUGAGUCCUUUAGUUCUAGCGUCUUAUUCUGUGACUUUAGGAUUGUGAUGAACACGUUUUUAAAUUGAGGUGUAGUUGCCGUACGGUAUUAUCUGAGUCACAGGUGUUUGAUAGUUUGCACCUAUUAAUCCUUUCCCCUCUAUUGCCCCUCUCCCGUUCCUGUCCCCACUGGUAACCACUAGUUUGUUCUCUCUGUGAGUCUGCUUCUUUUUUGUUAUACUCACUGGUUUUUUGUAUUUUAAAAAAUUCCACGUGUAAGUGAUAUCGCACUUGUUUGUGAUCACAUUUUUUGACCCCGUGUUUUCUUCUGGAAGACAUGGGUAAUGAGCUAGAUGUAAAUGGCAGAGUAGUUGUGAAUAUUAAAUGAUACGGCAUAUGUCAGGUUCUUUGCAAGAGACUUGGUUCAUACUGGUAACCACAAACAAUCUAUCACGCUGUUGUUAUCAAAUGUACACGCAGAAUGGUUGUCCAUUGGACAGGGAACAAACAUCCCUGGCUUGUAGCUCUGCAGAGGCUCUUGACAAGUGUUAGAGCUGAAUGUGGAGGGGGUGCUGGGGUGAGGUUCCUCUGUUCCAGUCUAGCAGAGGUUGCAAACUGGAGCUCCUAAUAUAUGCACUUUAACUCACCUAUUUUUCAAUUUGUGUGAGAAAUGUAAGUGGAACUAGGAA
rnacentral:lncRNA from 1 species